UAUGUGAUCGUCUCUCGCAUAUCAAUAAGCGGAGGAAAAGAAACUAACAAGGAUUCCCCUAGUAACGGCGAGUGAAGCGGGAAGAGCUCAAAUUUGAAAUCUUAAAGGGUUUCCCUUUACGAAUUGUAGUUUAAAGAAGUGUUUUCUGUUGAGGUUUUGGUAAAAGUUCUUUGGAAUAGGACAUCAUAGAGGGUGAGAAUCCCGUAUUUGACCUUUACUUUCAACUUUGUGAUACACUUUCAAAGAGUCGGAUUGUUUGGGAAUGCAGUCCAAAAUGGGUGGUAAAUUUCAUCUAAAGCUAAAUAUUGGCGAGAGACCGAUAGCGAACAAGUACCGUGAGGGAAAGAUGAAAAGAACUUUGAAAAGAGAGUUAAACAGUACGUGAAAUUGUCAAAAGGGAAGCGUUUGACACCAGUGUUGUUUUUCUGAAAAUCAAUUAGAGAACUGUUUAUGCUAAGCUGUUUAGACUUUAUCAGCUAAUCUGUUUAGUUUUGAGCUUUUCUUUAAUGCACUUUUCAGUUAACAAGUCAACAUCAAUUUCUUUUGCUGUAAAAAAGCUUGAGGAAGGUGGCUUGAGAUUCGUCUUAAGUGUUUAUAGCCUCUUGCCUAUGCAGUCGGAGAGAUUGAGGUCUGCAGCGUAGAUCCCUUCGGGGCUAAAUGCAUUUGUGCUAAGUUAUAGCAUUUUAUAGACAACUUGUUGACUAUGAUUUGUCUUGUAGCUUACUCGCUUAUGUUAUUUUACCUACGCUUAGGAUGUUGAGCGCAUGUCUCUCUCU
rnacentral:rRNA from 1 species